rnacentral:rRNA from 1 species
CGCGGCCUAUCAGCUUGUUGGUGAGGUAAUGGCUCACCAAGGCGUCGACGGGUAGCCGGCCUGAGAGGGUGACCGGCCACACUGGGACUGAGACACGGCCCAGACUCCUACGGGAGGCAGCAGUGGGGAAUAUUGCACAAUGGGCGGAAGCCUGAUGCAGCAACGCCGCGUGAGGGACGACGGCCUUCGGGUUGUAAACCUCUUUUAGCAGGGAAGAAGCGAAAGUGACGGUACCUGCAGAAAAAGCGCCGGCUAACUACGUGCCAGCAGCCGCGGUAAUACGUAGGGCGCAAGCGUUAUCCGGAAUUAUUGGGCGUAAAGAGCUCGUAGGCGGUCUGUCGCGUCUGCUGUGAAAACCCGAGGCUCAACCUCGGGCCUGCAGUGGGUACGGGCAGACUAGAGUGCGGUAGGGGAGAUUGGAAUUCCUGGUGUAGCGGUGGAAUGCGCAGAUAUCAGGAGGAACACCGAUGGCGAAGGCAGAUCUCUGGGCCGUAACUGACGCUGAGGAGCGAAAGGGUGGGGAGCAAACAGGCUUAGAUACCCUGGUAGUCCACCCCGUAAACGUUGGGAACUAGUUGUGGGGUCCUUUCCACGGAUUCCGUGACGCAGCUAACGCAUUAAGUUCCCCGCCUGGGGAGUACGG